rnacentral:rRNA from 1 species
UACAGAGGUCUCAAGCGUUGUUCGGAUUCAUUGGGCGUAAAGGGUGCGUAGGUGGCGCUGUAAGUCGGGUGUGAAAUUUCGGAGCUUAACUCCGAAACUGCAUUCGAUACUGCGGUGCUUGAGGACUGGAGAGGAGACUGGAAUUCAUGGUGUAGCAGUGAAAUGCGCAGAGAUCAUGAGGAAGACCAGUGGCGAAGGCGGGUCUCUGGACAGUUCCUGACACUGAGGCACGAAGGCCAGGGGAGCAAACGGG